CGCUGGCGGCGUGCUUAACACAUGCAAGUCGAGCGAGGAACUUCGGUUCCUAGCGGCGAACGGGUGAGUAACACGUGGGCAACCUGCCCCGAGCUCUGGGAUAACUUCGGGAAACCGGGGCUAAUACCGGAUAUGACACUACUGGACAUCUGGUGGUGUGGAAAGAUUUAUCGGCUUGGGAUGGGCCCGCGGCCUAUCAGCUUGUUGGUGGGGUAACGGCCUACCAAGGCGACGACGGGUAGCCGGCCUGAGAGGGCGAUCGGCCACACUGGGACUGAGACACGGCCCAGACUCCUACGGGAGGCAGCAGUGGGGAAUAUUGCGCAAUGGGCGGAAGCCUGACGCAGCGACGCCGCGUGGGGGAUGAAGGCC
rnacentral:rRNA from 1 species